rnacentral:rRNA from 1 species
UACGGAGGGAGCUAGCGUUAUUCGGAAUUACUGGGCGUAAAGCGCACGUAGGCGGCUUUGUAAGUUAGAGGUGAAAGCCUGGAGCUCAACUCCAGAAUUGCCUUUAAGACUGCAUCGCUUGAAUCCAGGAGAGGUGAGUGGAGUUCCGAGUGUAGAGGUGAAAUUCGUAGAUAUUCGGAAGAACACCAGUGGCGAAGGCGACUUACUGGACACAUAUUGACGCUGAGGUGCGAAAGCGUGGGGAGCAAACAGG